rnacentral:rRNA from 1 species
UCGUGUCGUGAGAUGUUGGGUUAAGUCCCGCAACGAGCGCAACCCUAUUGUUAGUUGCCAUCAUUCAGUUGGGCACUCUAGCGAGACUGCCGGUAAUAAACCGGAGGAAGGUGGGGAUGACGUCAAAUCAUCAUGCCCCUUAUGACCUGGGCUACACACGUGCUACAAUGGUUGGUACAACGAGUUGCGAGUCGGUGACGGCGAGCUAAUCUCUUAAGGUCAAUCUCAGUUCGGAUUGUAGGCUGCAACUCGCCUACAUGAAGUCGGAAUCGCUAGUAAUCGCGGAUCAGCACGCCGCGGUGAAUACGUUCCCGGGCCUU